rnacentral:lncRNA from 1 species
UACGCAGACGCCAUCGGUACCAGAAAGAAGCAGGACGAAGACGUCGAGAGCGUGACCUCCGAGAAAUCCUUCCACAGUCAAGCGUCCGACUCUGAGGACAGAGGCUAUCUGGAGAAGUUUGUGCUCAAGGCUGAGACUCUGGCUGACGUUGUUCCUGAGACAAGCCCAGAGGAACGGCAUGAUCCUUUCAGACCCGCCGGGUACGUGGCACACCACAAAGAAGAAGUGGACAAUCAGGCAGAAGAGCAGGAAGAGAUCACGGAUUUCUUUAGGAACAGUGCAUCUUCAUCGCCCUGUGAACCUGUCAACUUCGAGCAGCUGGAGAAAGAGGAAAAGAUCGAAGCUGUCAGGACACCUCAGGUCACUUUCAAAGAUGAAGUGCCAAAGAAUAAGCCCUCUCAUCUACCGUUGGCUGACGACACGGAUUUUUCAGAUGAGUUUUUACCAGUUGAAAUAAGCGAGGAUUGUCUGGCGUGGGAGGAAAACUUGCAGACGGUUGUCAGAGCUGCGGUAAAAUCAACUUCAACACGCACAAAUGAACUAAGACAAAAAACAAAGUCUGUAAGCGAUAAAAGCUCUCCAGCACCAAUCCAAGCCCAAAACACAGUCAGACCCAUAAUUCCACACCACAAACCCUUCCUGGAUCUGAGCCCGCUGCUGUGCGUCCAGACCGAGGACGAGACCGAAACAACAGAGGUAGAGAACACAAGCGCUGAUGCCUCAUUCAGCACCAAAGCAGCAGCAGAGGUCAGCAAUCAGGACUGUACGAUCCCCGGAGAACUUCCCGACGUGACAGACUCCAGAGGACAGAGCCGUGAUGAUAGAAAUCUCACAAAUCUGCUGCAUGAGGACGCUGCUGAAGCUCCAGCUGCUUCGAGCAAGUCUGAUUGGCAUCUGAGCCUUGCUGAUUCGCUGGCUUGACAAUGAGUGAUCCGUAAGCAUCUGCGUCCAUCCUUCAACAAAACAGAAAACGAGCAGAACAUUAUCAGGAGUCUCUAUGUCUGUCGUGAUGCAUCUGAGAGAUUCAAAUGGAAAAACAGAUAAAUAUGGUAGGCAGUUCCUGUACAGUAUACGGCUGUAGAAGCCUAUGAUCUGUGUUUGUGAGAGUGUAUGUACAGAUUACAACUUAGCCUACCUCAAUAGCUG